rnacentral:lncRNA from 1 species
GAGAGAAGAGCAAUCGGGAAGGGAAGGAAGAAGAGAGGGUCACGCGGGGAAGCCGAUAGGAAGAAAUAAGGAGAGGGAAGGAAGAGGAAGGGAAAAGAGAGAAAAAGGAGGAAGGAGAAGAAAAGAGAGGAGGGGCCGAGCGUGAAAGAGAAGGGGAGCCAAAGAGCGACCACCACGAGGGAGGAAGAAAAGAAGAGAGGGGCGGAGGUGGGAGAGUGUGGAAGCCGAACCGAAAGGAAGAAGGAGGAGAAGAGAACGGCCGAGAUGUCGUGUGAUGGCAGAGACCGAGGCAAGCGAGAUAAAGGUUUGUCCUUUUUGUCUUUUCUUCCCUUAUUUUCCUUUUAAUCUAUUUCUAUUUUGCACUAACUGACUUUUUAAGUGUAAAAAAUCAUCAUUCUAAUUGCAAGUACGUAAGGAAGCCGCGGGGUGACUGAGAGGAGGUGACCGGGAGCCAAGCCGAUGCCAAAAUGUCCACGUCGAAAGGUAAAAUCAUUUUAUUUUCGUGUUUUGGUGGUGGUUGAGCGGUGGUGGGGCGAGGCUGGUGUCGGGCUGGCCGUGCGGACUCGGCCAAGCCACCCACCAGCGUAGGAACCGAGGAAGCCUUCUUCUAGAAUGGAGAAAGCUGACCCAUUUGGGAAGCCGAAGAGUCUUCCCCGAUCAUGGGAACCUGACCCACUAGUUUGGAGUUCUGAUUCGCU